rnacentral:rRNA from 1 species
GACGAACGCUGGCGGCGUGCUUAACACAUGCAAGUCGAACGGAAAGGCCCCUUUGGGGGUACUCGAGUGGCGAACGGGUGAGUAACACGUGAGUAACCUGCCCUUGACUUCGGGAUAACUUCAGGAAACUGGGGCUAAUACCGGAUAGGAAUCCUUGCUGCAUGGUGGGGGUUGGAAAGCUUCGGCGGUUUUGGAUGGACUCGCGGCUUAUCAGCUUGUUGGUGGGGUAGUGGCUUACCAAGGCUUUGACGGGUAGCCGGCCUGGGAGGGCGACCGGCCACAUUGGGACUGGGAUACGGCCCAGACUCCUACGGGAGGCAGCAGGGGGGAAUAUUGCACAAUGGGCGGAAGCCUGAUGCAGCAACGCCGCGGGCGGGAUGACGGCCUUCGGGUUGUAAACCGCUUUCAGCAGGGGCGAAGCUUGUGGUGACGGUACCUGCAGAAGAAGCACCGGCUAACUACGUG